GUUUUAUGUAUUUAACCUGCAAAACAACUCUAUGAUAUAAGGUGACCUUUGAAGAAGAUGGUUUUAAACUGUGCAGGUCCACUUGCAUCUAACUUUAUUGCAAGAAUACAGCAGAUGAUACAUCUAACACACCAAAUGUGUUAAUUGACUAUUUGUAUUAUUGGGAAGGCUUCCAUCAACAGUAGGCUAUGAGAGGUAAAGUUGCGUAGAGUUUCUGAUUUCGGUUCACCAUGUUGUUGAGCCAACUUCAAAAGAAAGGUGGAGAUAAUAUGUCUGUUUUUGCCAUUCUACUGUGGAAAUCCUGCUCCUAUUCCAUUUAAAGAUUCUUAAGAAUGAAACAUCUGCCCUCUCCACUCCUCCAAACUUUUGACCCUCAAAAACAUUCACUGCCAGGCUAUUUUGUAGAGAGUGCAGGACACCUAACAUCAAUACACAGUUGCUAUUUAAGACUGUGGUAGUGCCAAGGUCCAUGUGUAUACAUUUCACAGUGUCAUAGUAUUAGAAUGCUUGUUUCUGCCACCCAUGAGUGGAUGAAAACUUAUUAGGGUGUCUUCUAAAAUUUGGUCAACAAAUAUCAGCAAUACUGCACUGAAACAGAAUAUUUGUGAGAAAACAAAAAUUUACUUUUGUCAUUAACAGUCAUCAAAAGGUAGUUUUGAGUAGAA